rnacentral:rRNA from 1 species
AGCGGCGGACGGGUGAGUAACACGUAGGCAACCUGCCCUCAAGUUUGGGACAACUACCGGAAACGGUAGCUAAUACCGAAUAAUUGUUUUCUUCGCCUGAAGGAAACUGGAAAGACGGAGCAAUCUGUCACUUGGGGAUGGGCCUGCGGCGCAUUAGCUAGUUGGUGAGGUAACGGCUCACCAAGGCGACGAUGCGUAGCCGACCUGAGAGGGUGAUCGGCCACACUGGGACUGAGACACGGCCCAGACUCCUACGGGAGGCAGCAGUAGGGAAUCUUCCGCAAUGGGCGAAAGCCUGACGGAGCAAUGCCGCGUGAGUGAUGAAGGUUUUCGGAUCGUAAAGCUCUGUUGCCAGGGAAGAACGCUUGGGAGAGUAACUGCUCUCAAGGUGACGGUACCUGAGAAGAAAGCCCCGGCUAACUACGUGCCAGCAGCCGCGGUAAUACGUAGGGGGCAAGCGUUGUCCGGAAUUAUUGGGCGUAAAGCGCGCGCAGGCGGUCAUUUAAGUCUGGUGUUUAAUCCCGGGGCUCAACCCCGGAUCGCACUGGAAACUGGGUGACUUGAGUGCAGAAGAGGAGAGUGGAAUUCCACGUGUAGCGGUGAAAUGCGUAGAUAUGUGGAGGAACACCAGUGGCGAAGGCGACUCUCUGGGCUGUAACUGACGCUGAGGCGCGAAAGCGUGGGGAGCAAACA